rnacentral:sRNA from 1 species
UAUUUUAGGCAUGUGUUUAUCAUCAUUUAGCUUAGUGAUCACUCAUUGUUUCAUAUCAUUUUGCAUCACAUUUAGCUUAUUUUGCACACUUCGCCAUUUAGGAUCAUCUUGCAUACAUAUUGCAUGUUUUGGUAUGUUUUCAGGUGUAGAAGGAGCUUACAAGGACUCUACUCGACCCUCUACUCUAUCCAACCAGGAGGGAAGCAGCAGAGCAAUCUACUCAACUAGUUCACUCGAUCCAGGUAGGCACAGAGGAGAAAUCAAUUCACUCGACCCACUUACUCGAUCCAGACAGCCAUAGAGGAAGCAGCAGAUCGGUAUACUCGCCCCUCUUACUCGAUCUUCUACUCGACCAAGGGCGACCAAAUCUACUAGACUUUUUGAUCUAUCAAAGCGUCUUCGGAUCCUCCUCAUUCCCCACUCAACCAGACAUCUGAGCAUACAGAUAGGAGAGGAAGAAACAUCUACUCGACCAAUUGAUCACUCGGAGCAUGGACACAAAGGCGCAGACUUUGCAGCACCCUCUUUACUCGAUCUCCAAGAUCGAGCACUCGCCCAAACCGCCUCAAGUCUCUUGUCGUCUAGUGAAUCUAGGGUUUUCAACAUUUUACUAUAAAUAGAUCACUUUGGGAUUUGUCCAAAGGAUCUAGCUUUUAUCCUUUAGUUUUUCUUUAUGUUCUUGAAUCUUCAAAA